rnacentral:rRNA from 1 species
AUGAACGCUGGCGGCGUGCCUAAUACAUGCAAGUCGAGCGAACAGAUGAGGAGCUUGCUCCUCUGACGUUAGCGGCGGACGGGUGAGUAACACGUGGAUAACCUACCUAUAAGACUGGGAUAACUUCGGGAAACCGGAGCUAAUACCGGAUAAUAUAUUGAACCGCACGGUUCAAUAGUGAAAGACGGUUUUGCUGUCACUUAUAGAUGGAUCCGCGCCGCAUUAGCUAGUUGGUAAGGUAACGGCUUACCAAGGCAACGAUGCGUAGCCGACCUGAGAGGGUGAUCGGCCACACUGGAACUGAGACACGGUCCAGACUCCUACGGGAGGCAGCAGUAGGGAAUCUUCCGCAAUGGGCGAAAGCCUGACGGAGCAACGCCGCGUGAGUGAUGAAGGUCUUCGGAUCGUAAAACUCUGUUAUUAGGGAAGAACAAAUGUGUAAGUAACUAUGCACGUCUUGACGGUACCUAAUCAGAAAGCCACGGCUAACUACGUG